rnacentral:tRNA from 1 species
CAGGAUAUAAUUUAAUCAGAAUGUUGGCUUUGGGGGCUAAUAGUAGAGGUUUGAUUCCUCUUGUCUUGA